GUAGAACGCAGCAGAAUGUAACGAACUUCCACGAGUUGUUGAUAUUGUAACGCCCGUGAUCCGUUUGUGAUUUUCGAUUAAGGAAAUAACGUGUCGAUUCCGCUGAUCGAACGCUUCAUCGAAAUAUUAAAUUUGACAUUAAAAAUGAAGUUUUCCAUGAAAGUGUUGCUCGCGCCGGCGUUAUUAAUUUUGAUCGUUUUAUCACCAGCGAUUUGUGAAGACGUGGAAGAUGAAGACUACAAAGACUACGAUGAUCCAUGGGGUGGUGUAUGGAACAGUACAGAUUCUGGUGUACCUAAUAUAACUUAUACUGACGGUCAUAUCAUAAGUUUUCCAGAUAUAUCACAGAAAUGCCCAGAAAAUCAACGGCCAGACAAAGAUGGGAGAUGUCGAGUAGCAGAAUAAUUUCGUUUACUAAGGUACGAAUCUUGUUAAGCGUAAAUUGUGAAGACACUUAUUGAAGGAUAAAUUGGGAAGAAUGACGAGCAAAAUGGGACAAAUAUUAAUAACUAUUUAACAACGCUGCGAUAGCAAUUUUAUUAGAUUAUGAUUUAUUGUGUCUACGUAGAAGAUAUUGUUCACUUUUCAAACUAGUAGAUUAGCCGUCAGUUGUGUAUAAUUAUUUUGUAUUUUGCCAACAGUGAAAUAUAUCGGUUCAAAGUGUCGCAUGAGAA
rnacentral:lncRNA from 1 species